GACAGAGGGGGCGAGCGUUGUCCGGAGUCACUGGGCGUAAAGGGUACGUAGGCGGCUAGUCAAGUCUGAGGUUAAAGACCACAGCUUAACUGUGGGAAGGCCUUGGAAACUGACUGGCUAGAGUGGGGCAGGGGUUGCGGGAAUUCCCGGUGUAGCGGUGAAAUGCGUAGAUAUCGGGAAGAACACCUGAGGCGAAAGCGCGCAACUGGGCCCUAACUGACGCUGAGGUACGAAAGCUAGGGGAGCGAAUGGG
rnacentral:rRNA from 1 species